AAUGGCAAUGUAGGAUUAAGAAGACGCGUGUUUCUGUAAUCUCUAUUCUUCCUCCACGUAUCUUUUCUUUUACAUCUCUUUCUGUUUAUUCACAGACUCUCGUCCCUCUUCAUCUCUCUCGUUACUCCUUCUCAAUCUCUCCCAGAUUCCUCACCCCUCUCAAUUCCGCAAGUGUUUCUUUCUCGCAAUCCUUUUCUUCCUGACGUUGCCUCUCCCACCGCCCAUGUUCUUCCUGGUUUCUUCCUGAAGUGCGGCCAACACUGUUUCGCCAUCUAACGAAUCACACACCACUGCUGUUCUUUCCAUCUUUCCGGUCGCCGCGCUACUGUUCUCGAAGCCAAUCAUUGGCUUUCACUUCUUCGGUCAAUUAACUUCGUUUUCUGGCUAGCAGUCCACCCCAUCUUUGAUUAUUCCAAUUAGUUAACUCCGUCGGCAUCGACAACUGAAGUACCGUGUCACUCUUGGAGAAUCAACCGAGACUUGUCUAUCAAGGACAUUCAGAAGUAGUUAAAUAGCUUUGCGAAUUGAAUGAGGAAUAGUUCCUUAAAACGAAGCUGUGUUGUGAGAUAGUCUGGUAGAAUUAAAUCGGUAUGAAAAUCAGCAGAACUGAGGCAAGUAUCCCUAUCUUCACUUAUUGUUCAAGUGAUAUUUCCUUUAAACCUUAUUAUGCAAGUAAUUCUAUUCUCAACUUGUAUUUACUGCAAGUAUUCCUAUUCAAAUGCUAUAUUUAAAAGCUGAGUACUCUUUCCUUAAAACUGGUAUUUAUUACAAAUGCAUGACUUAAGUACGAUUUUGAGUUGGAAAGAGGGACUUAUCAAAUUGAUAUACAUGGUUUCAAAAUCUCUAUAAAUGAUUUUCAUAACUCGGUUUAGUUCCUCGGUUGUAAGGCUUAUCCGUUGUAAGUAUACUUCCUAUGGAAUAAACCUUUUCUUAAAAAUGCAAUUCUUUAGAACUGGGAAGUAAAAACUCAGAUAUAAUUGGAGUUGCGUAAGAGGACCGUUAUUUGGUAACGGCCCAGCCUAUUUGUUUGCGUAAGAGGACCAUUGUAAGGCAAUGGCCCAGCGUUAUUUGAAGACCUAGCUAGUCUUCAGUUCCGGAACAUGUUAUUUCAGGGUAAUGCGUAACCAUUGUCCAAGUUACUGUAGACUGAUCAUCUACGUGACUAUUAACGUCCAAUAUAUCUGAAUGCUUUGGAAAUUAUAUGUACUUUUGAAUUGUUUUGGUUUCAAGUUAAAAGCAUGUUGUUUUGUGUACUUCCAGUUCAAUUACUUUUUCUAAUUUAACUCCUGUUUCUUUUUAACUAUUAUACUUGCUGGGCAUUCUUUUGCUCAUUCUUGCUAUUUCUUCUAACCCCUUUCAGAUAGUGUUAAAGAUGAUUCAUCUGUCUAGGCUGCGCGUAAGAGUAAUGCUAGGCAAGGAUUUCAAGUGAUUAGUUGUAACUGAAUGAUCAGGUUUUCAAUUGUUUUUCUUUUGGUGGCACCAAAUCCAGACCACCGGAUUUGAGAGCUGUCACAACUAGGUGACUGAGAUCCAAGAAACUGCACAUCAAACUCCAAACACAGGGAAUUCUACGAACACGAAGAGCAGAGCACGCAAAAUUACUGAACCAUUGGCUUACAAUCCUACAGACACAUCGGCAAUUCAUCUGGAAAAAAAAUGUCAAGGUUGAAAAAGUUAGCUCAUGUUCACAGCUUUUACGUUAAUAUGAAAAUUUCCUCUUCAGAAUUUGCAUUAUUCAACCACAUGGUCAUUUUGUUUUUCCAGCUGUCGAAGUAAGCAAAUGGUUUUCCAGCUGCCAACAGAACCUCGCAAUCAAAAACCUGGAUCUUUUGAUUAUUUUAUUUGCAAGAUUCGUACUUGAACUCAGAUUUUCAAACAUUUACUUUUGUGGUUGGUUAUUAAGGUCUGUAACUGCAUUUAACAACACUUUGCUUUUGGAUGUGAUGCAUGGUUCUGUAUUAAACUGUUGGAUUUUUUAUUUAAGAUUAUUGCUUGGUUAGUUGUAAACAUUUACUGCAGUUACAUACAUUGCACACUACAAAUAACUACACACUUCCAUAUUUGCUGCCCAAACAAGAGGAAAACAAAAUAUCAAAUUGAGAGUAUCAAACUAUUGAAAAGCUUAAAGUAGGAAAUGAGGACCACAAGAUCAAGGUUAGGAUUAUGCGUUUAUGGAGAAGAUCAACCAAGACUGGAGAGGAGUUCAAGAAUUUCAACCUAAUCCUACUGGACCACAACGUUAGAAAAUCACACUUUUUACAUUUUUCGGUAAACAACAUAACACAAAAGUUACAUUGACUGAUUUGUUCUGUGCAGGGUCAAAGGAUCCAUGCCUUUGUUCCGACUAAAUGCGCUGAGGACAUUCAUAACAAGAUUACUGUUGGGAGGAUCUUCAACAUUAAGAACUUUACAGUCCAGCUUUACAACCAAACAGACAAAUUCCGCUUCCUCAGGCUUGACAAACAGUUAGUCUUCAGCAAAGAUACCAACAUCCAAGAGUUAGCAGAUGAUGGGGUUAGCAUACCACAGGACGCCUUCGAUUUUUACGAUCACAGCCAGCUGGAGGAACUUUCAAACCAAACUAGGUACCUGGCAGGUAAGCUCACAUUUUUUACCAGCCACUGCUCAUAAAUAUAAAAAUCCAACAAAACACAUAAACUUCUUCUCCAGAGGUUGUAGGAAUAAUCAAAAAUUAUGACAAAGUAAGGGAACUUUGUUUAUCAGUGAUGGAAGGUACAAAUUACAUCAUUUGUAUUAAAUCGCCACAUAUGUUAAACAGAAAUAAUUUUUAUGACUUCCAAAAAUGUAGCUCUGCUGUUAAUGUAACAUUUUGGGACAAUUUUGGGGUAUCAUUCGACCAAAUGUUGUCGACUACUGUUCAGAAACCCGUCAUUAUUAUUAUAUCAGGAUGCAAAGUUGGUAAAUGGAAUGGUGAGUUUUGUUUCCAGACUAAUUUACUGUCAUUUUUAACUCAACUAAAUCUCAGUCUAAAUUUUUCUCUGAAGGUGAAGUUGAUAUAUCAAACAACCCAGCAACAAAAAUUUACCUCAAUCACAAGCAUCAUAGUGUGACACACCUGAAGAGAUUGUUAGUAAAAUCUAUUUUGUACUUGGAUUUUUGUCUGUUUGUUUUUUAUGCAUUUUUUCUUUGAAGUUUUGUAAUGAACAACUUUGAAAAAGUUGUUGAACCCUGAUUUUGCGAAACGAGCAUUAUCAGACCACAAAGUGAGAAGGAUUUCCAUUACAAAGAAGGUCAUUGUUGCUGAGUUGAAAUGUCUUGGAAUAACUGCUGUUGAGGUAUGCAAAAUUCAUCAGUUAUCACGUAAUUAGUGCAAGGUGAAUAACGCAGUUAUCAUGUUUGCAUACCUUUUUUAUGCUACAUGUGAAGUUCAAAAGCAUUGACGAAAGUAUGGGGUGGUCUUACAAUGCCUGCACUAGCUGCGACAAAGAGACAAAAAAUGAAGUUCCAUGUCAUAUUUGUGAGAGCUGUAAUCGCUGUGUUCCUUAUCCACAGAGGAAGUGAUUUACUUGGGCAAAUUUAAACUGACAUUUUUUAUGAAAACACAAUUAUUAAAUUAUAAUUUUCCUGCUAUCUAGGUUCAAAAUGCAUUUUGUUGCCGAGGACAGUACUGGACACAUCCAAGUGGUCCUGGCGGAUAGGGAAGUACGCACACUGAUUGGAAGAAGAGCUUUGGACUUAGUUGCGGAGAUGAAAGAUGGUAAUGCCAUCCCAGAGAGUUUUUUGACUACUCUCAACAAAGAAUACAGCGUCGUCAUACAAAUCAGGGAAUCGACUAACAUCUGCAAUGGUUUUGUUGACAUUCCAAAAGAUGCAAGUGCAGUUGUUCCAAACCAAGAAGAACAAACAUCACAGAUCAAAUGCUAAAAAACUUAAAGAUUCAGAUAUAUUCCAAAAGUAACUAUGUUUCUUUCCUAAUGCCUAACCUGAUUUCCUCUUCUGCAGGCAACCCUCGACCUACAAUGCGCAAGGAAUCUCAGAUAUCAACUUGACCUUUACUUGAUUUAAAGAAUCAGGCUACCAUUACUCUGUUUUGCUAUUUUCUAAGAAUGCUCUUAUCAGAUUCAGUACUUUUCCUUUUGUCUGCCAUUAUAUGUUGUUUGUUGGCAUCAGAACAAAUUCGGUUUGUAUGAAACAUGUAUCAACAACUGAUCAAUUCGGCUUACCAUC